CUCGCUUUUCCGCUAUAUAAAGUCCAUUAAAACAUGAUGCAGUCUCCUUCAGUUCUCUGGUCGACAGAUUCCAGCCGCCAUGUCGAAGCGAGGACGCGGAGGAACUGCUGGAAACAAGUUCCGGAUGUCACUGGGUCUUCCAGUGGCAGCAACAGUGAACUGUGCUGACAAUACCGGGGCCAAGAAUCUCUACAUUAUUUCCGUGAAGGGUAUCAAGGGUCGGCUCAACCGUUUGCCCUCAGCUUGUGUUGGUGAUAUGGUUAUGGCUACUGUGAAGAAAGGGAAGCCUGAUCUCCGGAAGAAGGUCUUGCCUGCUGUCAUUGUGAGGCAGCGCAAGCCAUGGCGCAGAAAGGAUGGAGUCUACAUGUACUUUGAAGAUAACGCUGGUGUUAUUGUCAAUCCCAAGGGUGAAAUGAAAGGUAACGGGAUCUUUUUAGUGCAUUGUCUUUAUCUCUGAUCAUACACAAUAGUUGCAAGAUGAUAUUGGAUUUGAAUACCAAGAUUUGCAAAUCUAUUGAUGGGUUUAUGUUUACAUGUUUGUAUGUUAAGGGUGACAAUAACCUAUGAGGAUGUUGUUGGAUGCCUGAUGGGUGCAUGGUUUCAUCAAAUAGUCCAUGAUAGGGAGAACUCAUACUGGAUUUUUCUUACUUGGACAUGCUUCAAAUUUGAUAGAGCUUGUACUUAAUUUUCAGUUAACUAAAAUGCAAUUUUGAACUGGUGUAAAUUGGUAUUUAGCUUAAUAUAAGAAUGCACUAGUUGAAAUUGGAGUGAUGUUGCUGCAAUCCAAACAAAA